GGUUAAGAAACAAAGGGCGCACGGUGAAUGCCUUGGCACUAGGAGCCGAAGAAGGACGUGACGAACGACGAAAUGCUUUGGGGAGCUGUAAGUGAGCUAAGAUCCAGAGAUAUCCGAAUGGGGGAACCCGGCUAGCGUAAUGGCUAGUCACACCUGAGGGUGAGGUAGACGCAGAGAACUGAAACAUCUAAGUACCUGCAGGAAGAGAAAGAAAAAUCGAUUCCCUGAGUAGCGGCGAGCGAAACGGGAAGAGCCCAAACCAGUGUGCAUGCACACUGGGGUUGUAGGACUCUAACGUGGACUCAAAUGAGUUAGUAGAAGCUGGUGGGAAACAGCGCCAAAGAGGGUGAGAGCCCCGUAUACGAAAACUGAUUUGUACCUAAGAGUAUCCUGAGUACGGCGGAACACGUGGAAUUCCGUCGGAAUCCGCCAGGACCAUCUGGCAAGGCUAAAUACUCCCUAGUGACCGAUAGUGAACCAGUACCGUGAGGGAAAGGUGAAAAGCACCCCGGGAGGGGAGUGAAAGAGUACCUGAAACCGUGUGCUUACAAGUAGUCAGAGCCCGUUAAGGGGUGAUGGCGUACCUUUUGUAGAAUGGACCGGCGAGUGACGAUAGUUGGCGAGGUUAAGUUGAAGAAACGGAGCCGUAGCGAAAGCGAGUCUGAACAGGGCGAAAGUCAGGUGUCGUCGACCCGAAACCAAGUGACCUACCCAUGUGCAGGUUGAAGGUGCGGUAAGACGCACUGGAGGACCGAACCAGGACACGUUGAAAAGUGUUUGGAUGACGUGUGGGUAGCGGAGAAAUUCCAAUCGAACUUGGAGAUAGCUGGUUCUCUCCGAAAUAGCUUUAGGGCUAGCCUCAGAGUAAGAGUCAUGGAGGUAGAGCACUGUUUGGACUAGGGGGGCUCACGCUUUACCGAAUCCAGAUAAACUCCGAAUGCCAAGGACUCAUCUCUGGGAGUCAGACUGCGAGUGAUAAGAUCCGUAGUCGAAAGGGAAACAGCCCAGACCACCAGCUAAGGUCCCAAAGUAACUGUUAAGUGGAAAAGGAUGUGGAGUUGCAUAGACAACUAGGAUGUUGGCUUAGAAGCAGCCACCAUUCAAAGAGUGCGUAAUAGCUCACUAGUCGAGUGACUCCGCGCCGAAAAUGUACCGGGGCUAAACAGUACACCGAAGCUGUGGAUUCAAUCUUAUGAUUGAGUGGUAGGAGAGCGUUCUAAGGGCGGUGAAGGCAUACCGAAAGGAGUGUUGGAGCGCUUAGAAGUGAGAAUGCCGGUAUGAGUAGCGAAAGACGGGUGAGAAUCCCGUCCACCGAUAGACUAAGGUUUCCUGGGGAAGGCUCGUCCGCCCAGGGUUAGUCGGGACCUAAGCCGAGGCCGACAGGCGUAGGCGAUGGACAACAGGUAGAGAUUCCUGUACUUGUUAACAAUGUUUGAGCGAUGGAGGGACGCAGGAGGCGACGCCACGCAGACGGAUGGAAGUGUCUGUAGAAGCACGAAGUGGUGGUAUGAGUCAAAUGCUUAUACCUAUAACUGUGACGUGUGACCUGGAGCGAAAUUUAAGUAGCGAAGGUGGCUAAUCAAACUGCCGAGAAAAGCUUCUAGUGAGUUGUUAACAACCCGUACCGCAAACCGACACAGGUAGUCAAGUGGAGAACACUAAGGUGAGCGAGAGAACUCUCGUUAAGGAACUCGGCAAAAUGACCCCGUAACUUCGGGAGAAGGGGUGCUGACAGAAAUGUCAGCCGCAGUGAAUAGGCCCAGGCGACUGUUUAUCAAAAACACAGGUCUCUGCAAAAUCGAAAGAUGACGUAUAGGGGCUGACGCCUGCCCGGUGCUGGAAGGUUAAGAGGAGUGCUUAGGAGUAAUCCGAAGGUACGAAUUGAAGCCCCAGUAAACGGCGGCCGUAACUAUAACGGUCCUAAGGUAGCGAAAUUCCUUGUCGGGUAAGUUCCG
rnacentral:rRNA from 1 species